rnacentral:lncRNA from 1 species
CUUCAUAUUCUGUACUUUGUGUACUUUUGUAAGAGGUUGAAUUUGAAUUUUCUUGUGACUCUGCUCGGUAACUAUCCAAGCUAGUGUAAAUAUCUUUAGCUUUCUGUGGAAAGCUUUGUUUUUCUUUGCAGCCCACUGUUAUCUUGCAGCAGGUGCAGAUUCUGUGCUUUCUGAGUUCUUAGUGAAUGCAAAUCCCCGGUGGAGAUAUUUUUCAUUCCUUGCAUACCAUUGUUCCGAUAAUAAUGCUUAUAAAACACAGAGAUACUGUUUUUAGACUCCAUGGUUAAGGAUAUAUUUCAAGAAAGCCCAUGGUUUACCAGGAAACGCGGAGCUGCCUGUGGGUUUUUCCAAGCAUGCCGAGCCCCAUGGAAGACCAGCCCCCCACCCCAUCAUCUGAGUGAGCGUCGUCUUCAUGUUCCCGAUGGGCUUCUCGCCCCAGCGACACCGACGUGGCGACUGCCUUCUGAAUGA